rnacentral:rRNA from 1 species
CCUACGGGUGGCAGCAGUGAGGAAUAUUGGUCAAUGGGCGCGAGCCUGAACCAGCCAAGUAGCGUGAAGGAUGACUGCCCUACGGGUUGUAAACUUCUUUUAUCAAGGAGUAAAGUGAGGCACGUGUGCCUUUUUGUAUGUACUUUAUGAAUAAGGCUCGGCUAACUCCGUGCCAGCAGCCGCGGUAAUACGGAGGGUCCGAGCGUUAUCCGGAUUUAUUGGGUUUAAAGGGAGCGUAGAUGGGUUGUUAAGUCAGUUGUGAAAGUUUGCGGCUCAACCGUAAAAUUGCAAUUGAUACUGGCAGCCUUGAGUACAGUUGAGGUAGGCGGAAUGCGUGGUGUAGCGGUGAAAUGCUUAGAUAUCACGAAGAACUCCGAUUGCGAAGGCAGCUUACUAGACUGCCACUGACAUUGAUGCUCGAAAGUGUGGGUAUCAAACAGGAUUAGAUACCCCAGUAGUC